rnacentral:tRNA from 1 species
GGAGGACCCGUGGCUCAGUGGCAAAGCUUCUGCUCAGCAUGCAGAAGAACCCAAGUUCAAUCCCCAGCACCUCCA